UAAAAAGUGGCAGAAAUAAAUGCAAUAAAUUUAAGCUUUAUCUAUGAGCUGUUGUUCCUUUUUAU
rnacentral:tRNA from 1 species